rnacentral:lncRNA from 1 species
CCAAAUGUCCUCCUUUAUACGCCAUAACUAUGGUGGUGCUCCUAUUUAAAGGAGGCUCAUACGGAGACAAGAAGACAAGAAGUUAUGUAACAUUUAUCGUCAUGAAUAUUGAUGUGUUUUUACUCGCUGAUUAUUUCUUUCUUUUACAUAAAUUAAACAUCUUUAUACGUUUUGAAAUUAAUCCUAUAUUUAUGCUGAAUUUGAACUUUGUCUUGUAUAUUAUUUUACUUGUCCACGGGCAAUCAAGACAAAAAUAAUUACUUGUCCGGGUGUUAAAAUGUACGAGUCGGGCGAGUCGGGCAUAGCAUUUCCACACCCCUG